rnacentral:rRNA from 1 species
ACAGUGGACGCGAGCAUCUUUGUUGUAAGUGUUUAUGAGCGUACGGUGGAUGCCUUGGCACCAGGAGCCGAUGAAGGACGUGGGAGGCUGCGAUAUGCCUCGGGGAGCUGUCAACCGAGCUGUGAUCCGAGGAUUUCCGAAUGGGGAAACCCAGCACGAGUGAUGUCGUGUUACCCGCGCCUGAAUAUAUAGGGCGUGUGGAGGGAACGUGGGGAAGUGAAACAUCUCAGUACCCACAGGAAGAGAAAACAACAUGUGAUUCCGUGAGUAGUGGCGAGCGAAAACGGAAGAGGCUAAACCGGAUACAUGUGAUACCCGGCAGGGGUUGUGUGUUCGGGGUUGUGGGGUUCGAUGUGUCGGUGCUGCCGCGCCGGCCGACAGUGAGAAAUCGCCUGUGUUAGUCGAAAUGGUCUGGAACGGCCUGUCGUAGAGGGUGAGAAUCCCGUAGACGAAAACGCGGUGACUGUCGAUUCGAAUACCCGAGUAGCAGCGGGCCCGUGAAAUCUGCUGUGAAUCCGUCGGGACCACCCGAUAAGCCUGAAUACUCCCUGGUGACCGAUAGCGGACUAGUACCGUGAGGGAAAGGUGAAAAGUACCCCGGGAGGGGAGUGAAAUAGUACCUGAAACCGUGCGCUUACAAUCCGUCGGAGCCUUCGAGCAGUUUGGUCUGCUGGGGGUGACGGCGUGCCUUUUGAAGAAUGAGCCUGCGAGUUAGUGGCAUGUCGCGAGGUUAACCCGUGUGGGGUAGUCGUAGCGAAAGCGAGUCCGAACAGGGCGCAUCAGUGGCAUGUUCUAGACCCGAAGCGGAGUGAUCUACCCAUGGCCAGGGUGAAGCGACGGUAAGACGUCGUGGAGGCCCGAACCCACUUAGGUUGAAAACUGAGGGGAUGAGCUGUGGGUAGGGGUGAAAGGCCAAUCAAACUCCGUGAUAGCUGGUUCUCCCCGAAAUGCAUUUAGGUGCAGCGUCGCGUGUUUCUCACCGGAGGUAGAGCUACUGGAUGGUCUAGGGGGCCCACAAGCUUACCGAAAUCAGCCAAACUCCGAAUGCCGGUGAGUGAGAGCGCGGCAGUGAGACUGCGGGGGAUAAGCUUCGUAGUCGAGAGGGAAACAGCCCAGAUCGCCGGCUAAGGCCCCUAAGCGUGUACUAAGUGGAAAAGGAUGUGGGAUCGCUGAGACAACCAGGAGGUUGGCUUAGAAGCAGCCACCCUUGAAAGAGUGCGUAAUAGCUCACUGGUCAAGUGGUUCUGCGCCGACAAUGUAGCGGGGCUCAAGUACACCGCCGAAGCCGCGGCACUCACAUUAGCCCGCUCGUUCCCUGCGGGGGGCGAGCCAGGUGUGUGGGUGGGUAGGGGAGCGUCGUGCAGCCGGGGAAG